rnacentral:misc_RNA from 1 species
GGGGAAUUGAUAAAGACAAUUAGUGAACAGUUUUACAUGAAAUAGAUUGGUGAAACAAAUGUUACAAAUCCUUCCCAGAUUUCUUUAAAUAUUAGUAUAUCUAUCUAUCUAUGUAAACAAAUUCGAAGCAUUGCCUUUCCUCUAGAGGCUUUGUUUAAUUGCUAUUCUACACUUAUGUUGAGGGAAGGUAGAGGACAGAGAGACAGAUUCAUUCUUUUUACACAAAUUCAAGCACUCAUACGAAAUGUUUUAACCCAUAGCAUACUUCUGGGU